rnacentral:sRNA from 1 species
GCUGGGCAUGGUGGUGCAUGCCUGUAAUCCCAGAGGCUUCAGGAGCUGAGGCAGGAGGAUCACAAGUUCAAAACCAGCCUCAGCAAAAGCAAGGUGCUAAGUAACUCAGUGAGACCUUGUCUCUA